AGGGGGGUGACCAGUGACAGAGGAGGGAGGGAGUGGGUGACCAGUGACAGAGGGAGGGGUGACACAGUGACAGAGUGAUGGAGGGGGUGACUAGUGACAGAGUGAGGGAGGUGGUGACUGUCACUAGUCACCACCUCCCUCACUCUGUCCCUAGUCACCCCUCCCUCUGUCACUAGUCAUCCCCUUCCUCACUCUGUCACUAGUCACCCCCUCACUCACUCUGUCACUAGUCACCCCAUCCCUCUCUCUGUCACUAGUCACCCCAUGCCUCUCUCUGUCACUAGUCA